GGGAUUUUUACACAGCAUGUAAAAAGCUUUUGGGGAUUCUGAUGAAAAGCUUCAAGUGAAAUGAUGGAGUUUUUGUGCCCUUCAUCAGAAGAAGCCUUUGUGAUACAAAAUCAACAAGUGGCGCUUGAUUACAUUGGAAAAAGAGGUGCAACCGUUAGUGUCAAGAGGAUAAAGGUUAUACUUACUGGUAGAAACAAUUUCAAAAAUGACUUGGUGAACUACCCGACUACCAAGCAGAAUAGUCAGCACCAUCUACUGGACAUGAAGGUUUUUUUUUAGGAUCAUCUACACGUUAUAGGUGUGGUGAGAGGAGGUUGAGCGUGGACGAUGAAGAAGAUGUGCCAAGUUACGUUUAAGGUUUCUGUAGCGGGGAGGUUAUGUUUGAGGUUUCUGUAGUGGCAGGUUAGCUUUGAGGUUUCUUAGCGGCAAGAGAACAUCAAGUGAUUCUCAAAAUGAUAAACCAAUGUAUAUGGAAUCAAAAUAGCAAGUAGAUUCAUGAAAAUGUACUUUUGUUAUUUCAUUGCAUCUUUUUAGCCGGUCAAC